rnacentral:rRNA from 1 species
UACAGAGGGUGCAAGCGUUGUCCGGAAUUACUGGGCGUAAAGAGCUCGUAGGCGGUCUGUUGCGUCGGCUGUGAAAACCCGGGGCUCAACUCCGGGCCUGCAGCCGAUACGGGCAGACUAGAGUUCGGCAGGGGAGACUGGAAUUCCUGGUGUAGCGGUGAAAUGCGCAGAUAUCAGGAGGAACACCUAUAGCGAAGGCAGCUUGCUGGGACGUAACUGACGCUAAGGCGCGAAAGCGUGGGGAGCGAACAGG